rnacentral:tRNA from 2 species
GGUCCGUUAGUCUAGUGGAUAGGACACGAGGUUUUCAUCCUCGGGAUAGCGGGUUCAACUCCCCUACGGAUCA